UGGGGAAUAUUGCACAAUGGGGGGAACCCUGAUGCAGCCAUGCCGCGUGUAUGAAGAAGGCCUUCGGGUUGUAAAGUACUUUCGGUAGUGAGGAAGGAGUGAUAUCUAAUAGGUGUCACUAUUGACGUUAACUACAGAAGAAGCACCGGCUAACUCCGUGCCAGCAGCCGCGGUAAUACGGAGGGUGCGAGCGUUAAUCGGAAUGACUGGGCGUAAAGGGCAUGUAGGCGGAUAGUUAAGUUAGAUGUGAAAGCCCCGGGCUCAACCUGGGAAUUGCAUUUAAAACUGGUUAUCUGGAGUAUUGUAGAGGAAGGUAGAAUUCCAUGUGUAGCGGUGAAAUGCGUAGAGAUGUGGAGGAAUACCGGUGGCGAAGGCGGCCUUCUGGACAGAUACUGACGCUGAGAUGCGAAAGCGUGGGGAGCAAACA
rnacentral:rRNA from 1 species